UAAUAAUGACCCUUUAAACAGCAUGGAGUCGUGCGCAUGCGCAGUGCAGGUUGGAUUGUUGCAGCUCGAGACAGGGCGGCCCGUUACUAAGCACUGCUGCACCGCGCGUGACGACAGCCAACGGCCGUUGACACAAUCAAGACUGCCGGCUUGGAGAACAACACACGGAAUACAGUAAAAGAUGGCAGUGAAUGUUUAUGCUACAUCUGUGUCCAUUGAGAACCUCAGCCGGCAUGACAUGCUGGCAUGGGUCAACGAUUCUUUGCAUCUCACCUACACCAAGAUUGAACAGCUCUGUUCAGGAGCGGCAUAUUGCCAGUUCAUGGACAUGUUGUUUCCAGGCUGCAUCCUGUUGAAGAAGGUCAAAUUUCAAGCCAAGCUGGAGCAUGAAUUUAUACACAACUUCAAAGUUCUUCAGGCAGCUUUUAAAAGGAUGAGUGUCGACAAAAUAAUUCCUGUAGAGAAGCUUGUAAAAGGAAAGUUUCAGGACAACUUUGAAUUUGUGCAGUGGUUCAAGAAAUUCUUUGAUGCCAACUAUGAUGGGAAGGAGUAUGACCCUUUACUAGCCAGACAGGGGCAGGAUGUAGCCCCUCCCCCCAACCCAGGUGAUCACUUUAUCCACAAACCAAAGAGAAUCACAGGACCACAGAGAACAUCUCCAACAGUUCCCAAAAACAUGCCAACACCACAGCGGGUCCAACACAACACUCCAGCCAUGAGGAAGAAUCCAGCUUUGUCUAGAAAUGGUAGAAGUGAUGCUGAAAUCAUGGAGCUAAAUCAACAGUUGAUGGAGUUGAAGUUGACUGUGGAUGGACUAGAGAAGGAGAAAGACUUCUACUUCAGUAAACUACGGGACAUUGAGCUCAUCUGCCAAGAACACGAGAGCGAAAACAACGCCAUCCUCAGCAGGAUAAUCGACAUACUCUACGCAACAGAGCAACGCACGACCGACGCCAGUGACUUCAGCACGAGUAAGACAGAGAACGGAGCCGAGCCUGGUGGUUGUAAGGACAUAAAAGUGAAGUAUGUAAAUAUUGAUGGCAGGUUGGUUUCAGUAAGAGAGCAACGUCUUUGCUCAUUAUGGAGUUAUUUAUUUGCCUUUUGGUGCGCUGUUAGAUGAAAGCACAGACCACCGCUGCUUCAAUGUGCCAUCAGGACACUCACAGAGCUACUAAAACUGUAAGGAGAAGUGACUUUUUGCAAAUUUAUUUAUUUAACUUAUGUUUCACUUCACUCUCUGUAGCAAAAUUAGUGCAAAACCUACUGUACAUGAACACUGAGGCUCCAUGUGACACUUUAGUUAUCUUUCAUGCUUGAGUCCGCAUCAAGCUUCAGAUUUUAAUUUAUGGAGGUUCAUGGCAUGUAGAUUCGCUGAAGGACUUAACGAGACGCGUCAGUGCUCUGCGAUUAUUCGUUAUUGAUCAGCAACGUGUCUGAGCAUGAGAAUGUUACACAUUGACUGUGAAUGAGUGAUAUUUUGUAAAUGUAUUUUAUGUGGAGAUUUUGUCUGAUGUCGCACGAUUCUGGUUAAUUGCUGUUGUAUCUUUUAGGCCGACACACAGUAGCCUAUAAUUUUAAACCACAGAGGUGGGAUGCCACCCAUAAACUGAAAACAUGGUUAUAGAUUGUAGCAGUUCUAAUGUUUUAUUCUAAAAUAUAUGGGAGCCUGACACUAAAUUAAUACAAGCUGUCACAUAUCAGCUUUAAUCAUACUUUACUGCUCAUCAUAUUGUGUUUACACUUUUCAUUUGUUGUUAAGGGUUGUGCAGCUAAUGUACUGAAGGUUGAAGUUCUUGACUGAAAAUAAGAAUGUCAGUGUUAAAGGCUCUGUGGCCAGUUUAGAACAUUACUGGCAGUCAUCAUUAUCCGGUUAAAUCUCCCAAGACCACCCCCAGCUGUUUUAACUUUACAAACUGGUUGAUGUCUGCUCUGGAACUCAUUUACUGACCAUCAAAACAUCUACAGACUGAGUUUUGAAUAAAUAAACCAAACAGUUGUGAAAUAAAAA